GCCGGAGUGGCGGAAUGGCAGACGCACUGGACUCAAAAUCCAGCGCCUGUAACGGGCGUGAGGGUUCGACUCCCUCCUCCGGCACCA
rnacentral:tRNA from 1 species